AACGACGCUGGCGGCGUGGAUUAGGCAUGCAAGUCGAACGAUCCCGCAAGGGAUAGUGGCGAAAGGGUGCGUAACACGUGGGCAAUCUGCCCCCGAAACGGGAAUAACUUCGGGAAACCGAAGCUAAUACCUGAUGACACCGAGCUGCCGCAUGGUGGCACGGUGAAAGGCGUCCGCAAGGGUGCCGAUCGGGGGAUGAGCCCGCGGCCUAUCAGCUAGUUGGUGAGGUAACGGCCCACCAAGGCGAUGACGGGUAGCCGGCCUGAGAGGGUGGUCGGCCACAUUGGGACUGAGACACUGCCCAGACUCCUACGGGAGGCUGCAGUCGAGGAUCUUCCGCAAUGGGGGAAACCCUGACGGAGCGACGCCGCGUGGAGGAUGAAGGCCUUCGGGUCGUAAACUCCUGUCAGUCUGGAAGAAAAUCUGCAGCAAUGUGGAUUGACCGUACAGGCAGAGGAAGCUCCGGCUAACUCCGUG
rnacentral:rRNA from 1 species